GUAGCAAUACAUUCUGCCGGCGACCCGUGCAAGGGUGCGUAACGCGUGAGCAACAUGCCCGUCUCAGGGGGAUAACCGGUGGAAACGCCGCCUAAUACCCCAUGGCGAUAUAUUGAGGCAUCUUGAUAUAUCUAAAGCUCCGGCGGAGACGGAUUGGCUCGCGUGACAUUAGCUGGACGGCGGGGCAACGGCCCACCGUGGCUACGAUGUCUAGGGGUUCUGAGAGAAAGGUCCCCCACACUGGAACUGAGACACGGUCCAGAAUCCUACGGGAGGCAGCAGUGAGGAAUAUUGGUCAAUGGGCGGGAGCCUGAACCAGCCAUGCCGCGUGAAGGCGAGUGCCCUACGGGCGUUAAACUUCUUUUGUGCGGGAGCAAUAAGGGCCACGCGUGGCCCGAUGAGAGUACCGCACGAAUAAGCAUCGGCUAACUCCGUGCCAGCAGCCGCGGUAAUACGGGGGAUGCGAGCGUUAUCCGGAUUUAUUGGGUUUAAAGGGUGCGUAGGCGGUAUUUUAAGUUAGUGGUAAAACGUCGGGGCUUCACCUUGAUUGGCCAUUAAAACUGGAGUACUAGAGUACAGACGAGGUAGGCGGAAUAAGUUAAGUAGCGGUGAAAUGCUUAGAUAUAACUUAGAACCCCGAUAGCGAAGGCAGCUUACCAGACUGUUACUGACGCUGAAGCACGAGAGCGUGGGUAGCGAACAGGAUUAGAUACCCUGGUAGUCCACGCCGUAAACGAUGCUCACUGGUUCUGUGCGAUAUACAGUACGGNAUUAAGCGAAAGUAUNAAGUGAGCCACCUGGGGAGU
rnacentral:rRNA from 1 species